rnacentral:rRNA from 1 species
GAUGAACGCUAGCGGCAGGCUUAAUACAUGCAAGUCGAGGGACAGCACGGGUAGCAAUACUGGGUGGUAACCGGCAAACGGGUGCGGAACACGUACACAACCUUCCUUUAAGAGGGGGAUAGCCCAGAGAGAGUCGGAUUAAUACCCCGUAAUAUAGUUGAAUGGCAUCAUUUGAUUAUUAUAGCUACGGCGCUUAAUGAUGGGUGUGCGGCUGAUUAGAUAGUUGGCGGGGUAACGGCCCACCAAGUCUACGAUCAGUAGCUGAUGUGAGAGCAUGAUCAGCCACACGGGCACUGAGACACGGGCCCGACUCCUACGGGAGGCAGCAGUAAGGAAUAUUGGUCAAUGGACGCAAGUCUGAACCAGCCAUGCCGCGUGAAGGAUUAAGGUCCUCUGGAUUGUAAACUUCUUUUAUUUGGGACGAAAAAGGGCCUUUCUAGGUCAACUGACGGUACCAGAUGAAUAAGCACCGGCUAACUCCGUGCCAGCCGCCGCAGUAAAAC